rnacentral:rRNA from 1 species
CCGUGAAAUGUUGGUUAAGUCCCGCAAAGAGCGCAACCCCUAUUGCUAGUUGCCAUCACAUAAUGGUGGGCACUCUAGUGAGACUGCCCGGGUCAACCGGGGGGAAGGUGGGGACGACGUCAAGUCAUCAUGGCCCUUACGUCCAGGGCUACACACGUACUACAAUGGUGGAUACAGAGGGUCGCGAAGCCGCGAGGUCGAGCCAAUCCCAGAAAAUCCAUCCCAGUCCGGAUCGCAGUCUGCAACUCGACUGUGUGAAGUUGGAAUCGCUAGUAAUCCCAGAUCAGCAUGCUGGGGUGAAUACGUUCCCGGGCCUUGUACACACCGCCCGUCACACCACGAAAGCUGG